rnacentral:lncRNA from 1 species
CGAGCUCUAAUCUUCUGAGGAUUUGAGAAACUGCUUUCUGAGAGAAUUAAUUCAAUAUCUUCAUUCCUUGUUACAACUCCAUUUUCUGCCAGGAUGAAUGAAACAGCAGGAUUUGCUGCUCGGAUGAGGCUCUGCAGUUGCAUAAGGAGCGGAUGCCUCUGCUCUGUAGCGUGACUUGUGAAUAUCACAUUACUCACCAGUCCUUGUGAGCACUGGUCCAAGAACUUGGGAAAAAGAAGUCUGUGCUCUAUAUAGCAGCUCAGUGGCUCUACACAAGUAUUAAC